rnacentral:rRNA from 1 species
GACGAACGCUGGCGGCGUGCUUAACACAUGCAAGUCGAACGGAAAGGCCCUGCUUUUGUGGGGUGCUCGAGUGGCGAACGGGUGAGUAACACGUGAGUAACCUGCCCUUGACUUUGGGAUAACUUCAGGGAACUGGGGCUAAUACCGGAUAGGAGCUCCUGCUGCAUGGUGGGGGUUGGAAAGUUUCGGCGGUUGGGGAUGGACUCGCGGCUUAUCAGCUUGUUGGUGGGGUAGUGGCUUACCAAGGCUUUGACGGGUAGCCGGCCUGAGAGGGUGACCGGCCACAUUGGGACUGAGAUACGGCCCAGACGCCUACGGGAGGCAGCAGUGGAGAAUAUUGCACAAUGGGCGGAAGCCUGAUGCAGCAACGCCGCGUGCGGGAUGACGGCCUUCGGGUUGUAAACCGCUUUCGCCUGUGACGAAGCGUGAGUGACGGUAAUGGGUAAAGAAGCACCGGCUAACUACGUG